GAGCUGGUGCCUACUCCUUGCUCUCUGGGUCUGCCUUUUCCGUUUGGGGCAGAAUUGCCUGCCUGUUCCAUGAAGUCAGAGAGGAUGGCUGAGUUGUCACCCGUGACAAGCCUAAGUGGAUAGUUUUGGACAUCAAUGGCUAAUACUGAUCUCAGUGCCCUGCAAUUUGAUUGCUUGGAUGAUUAAUGGAUUCUCAUGACAGGUUUGCUUGUUAUUUGCCAAAUACACCUCUUACCAAUGCCCAUUUGAGGUUCACAGACACAAGCCCCAGCAUGAAUCAACUGCAGAAUCUAAAAGCAAAGCUCAACAUAAAUGUUUCUAAGAUCCCAGAGGAAGCAUGAAGAAAAGAUAUUGGAAAUUAGAGGAGAAGCGUAAACGAAGAGUUUGGGAGAGGUCUGCCUUUCAGCCUGCUAAUUCUCUUGUGAUAAUUAUAAGCUUCAACCCAAAUCCACUUGUCAUCAUUUCUCACUUAUUUGCUCUUUGAGAAUAUAGUUUUUUUUCUCAGCUAUAUUCAUUUCUCACAUGGAACAGUUCCUGCUAUUAAAAAAAAAAAAAAAACUAUGAAUUCUGAUGAGUUUCU